ensembl:snRNA U1 U1 spliceosomal RNA
AUACUUGCGUGGCAGGAGAGAUACCAAGACCAGGAAGGCGGUUUUCCCAGGGCAGCUUCGCGCAUUGUACUCAGGAUGCCCUGAGCCUGUGGUUUCCCCAAAUGUGGGAAACUCGAUGGCAUAAUUUGUGAUAGUGGGGGAUUGCAUUUGCACUUUCCCCUA